AGCCCUCCGAAAACUGGUGAAUGACCAGCAGAAUAACUGGGAUCUGUAUCUAGAUCCCACCCUGUUUUCACUGCGGUCAAAAGUACACACCACAACAAAAUACUCACCUUUUUUUCUGAUGUAUGGAAGAGAGGCAGUAUUUCCAUCAGAAGUGCCUGCUCAAGUGCCGUGAAGUGGCUUUGGGCUGCAAAAGACACCGGGCGUGUGGAGACAGUCGUUGGGCCAUACAAAUUGUAUGACUCUUCUUUUCGCACACUGGAGGACAGUGGGUGGCUUUCUGAUGAGGUCAUUGAUGCAUACCUGCACUGCCUCAUUAGGAAACAAAAGGAACCCGUGUAUCAGUUGUCUUGUGUUGUUGCAACCUCUCUGUUUUCUGGGAAGUUUAAAUGUGUCAGCAAGAUGUUGUUUCCGGCUGAGGACAUUUGGUUGUGCCCACUGAACUUCAGUGCACACUGGAUCCUUGUGGUUGUCAAAAUCUCCUCACGAUCUGUACUGCUGUUAGACCCUCUUGGAAAUGAAGGUUGUUAUGAAAGGAAAAUUAUGCGUAACUGGAGGAAUUUUCUGAAGAUGAAAGGAAAGGAAGAGUCCCGAGUGGAUUGGAAAAUGGAGACUCUGCCACACAGCAAGCAGAUGGACUCCAGCAGUUGUCGAGUUUUAGUGUUGAAGGUAUUUAAUAAGCCAUUGUAUUUAAUUGUAUUUAUUGUAUUUAACUAGAAUUAAGUUAAUCAAUUGCAAUUACUGUAACAUAUUUUACAGUUUGCCGAACACUACCUUAUGAGUGGAGAGGUUACUAGGGUGCUGUCCAAUCCAGAAGCCAUUGGGCUGCAACGCACAGAAAUUGCUUGCGAACUGCUAGAACAUCAAAGUAAGCUGAGUCAUGUGCUUUUGUAUUGCAAUAGCAUUUUCAGUUUUGUUUAAAAACUGUUAUGUUGAACGCCGGUGUGUUUCUAGGUAAUGCUGAUGACUACUGUGUGGUUUGUUCCAUGCUGGAAGCCGAUCCUGAGUCCAGUAUGAUUGAAAUGGUAAAACAAAUAAACCACAAAUGCAAUAUACAGUUGCUUGCAACAUUAUUCGGCCCCCUUGAACUUUUCCACAUUCUGUCACAUUACAGCCACAAACACGAAUCAAUUUUAAUUGUAAUUCCACGUGAAAGACCAAUACAAAGUGGUGUACACGUGAGAAGCGGAACGACAAUUGUACAUGAUUCCAAACAAUUUUUACAAAUGAAUAACUGAAAAGUGGGGUGUGCGUAAUUAUUCAGCCCCCUGAGUCAAUACUUUGUAGAACCACCUUUAUCUGCAAUUACAGCUGCCAGACCUUUAGGGUAUGCCUCUACCAGGUAGAGACAUUGGUCUUUCACGUGGAAUUCCAAUAAAAUUGAUUCAUGUUUGUGAAUGCAAUCUGACAAAAUGUGGAAAAGUUCAAGGGGGCCGAAUACUUUUGCAAGCCACUGUAGUAAUUAUUUUCUCAUGAAAUUCGUAAUGUUGGUUAACACACUUACACCCCCCCUUCUCCCUCUUCAGGUGCAGUGUGAGUUUUGUCUCAGAUGGGCACAUUUUGGAUGUGCUCAAUAUGAGAGCAGCCUGGUCAAGUACUUGUGUAACAAAUGUGCAUAAUUUGUUAUGAAUACUGUUUCUUUUCCACUUCUUUCUCCCUGUGUUCUGUUGGAUCUGUAAAUAUCAAAUAUAUAUAUAUGUAAAUAUUUUCAGUAAAUACAUACUGUAACUAUAAUGGAGUGAGUUCAUUGUCAAAGUUUAUAUAGUCAGGUGUUCCAAUCACUUCAAUGGUGACAGCUGUAUAACUUAAGCACCUUGGCAUGCAGACUGCUUCUACAAACAAGUGCCAAACCAUGCUACCUUUGUUAAUAAGAGCAAGAAGCAUAAUUCUGACGGGAAGAAUUACGUGCCAAAACAUGCUACCGUUGUUAUUAUAAAGUAGAAGCAUACUCUGACGGGAAGAAUUACGUGCCAAAACAUGCUACUUUUGUUAAUAAGAGCAAGAAGCAUAAUUCUGACGGGAAGAAUUACGUGCCAAAACAUGCUACCGUUGUUAUUAUAAAGUAGAAGCAUACUCUAUAAUAACAACGGUAGCAUGUUUUGGCACGUAAUUCUUCCCGUCAAAGUAGAAGCAUACUCUGACGGGAAGAAUUACGUGCCAAAACAUGCUACUUUUGUUAUUAUAGAGUAGAAGCAUACUCUGACGGGAAGAAUUAUGUGCCAAACCAUGCUACCUUUGUGAAUGUGACCUACAAGCACACUUUAAUGGGUAAAAAGAAGUGUAUACUGGCUUUAUGAAUAUCAGCUACAAACAUACUCUGAUGGACAAAGUUAAGUGGCAAACCGUCAUACCUACUUAAAUUUGUGCUGGAAUUAUUGUGUGGCAGCAGAAAUGUGCAUAAAUUACGUACAGUAGGACAUUUUGCCAAAGUAGGGCAGUUUGUCAUAAGGCAGCGUAAAAUUAUCCUACUGGUAGGACGGUUUGCCAAAGUAGGACUGUUUAUCAGAGGACACCGUAAAAUUUUCCUACAGGUAGGACGUUUUGUCAGAACACCGUUAUUCCCAUCACUGGUUAAUAUGUAAUUGUUAUGCCUUAGCAGUAACAAUUAGGGGCCGGAAUGUUAGCGCCAUUUAUAGUUAUUACAUGUUUUAUUUUGAAAAGCCUGAAAAGGAUAUGGUGCUUUUAUUGUGAAAUGUUUGUGAAAAAAUAAACAAGCGAAUGGCGGAGCGACACGAUGGUUUUACCGUCGUUGUUGCACAAACCGACGCGUAAAACAGUCUCUUGUCCAUCCAGAGUCUUAUUUUAGAUAUAAAAAAAAUAGAGAACUCCAAGAAGAAACAAAGAUAGCCACUACAAUAAGCAACGCCCGACUGUCAGAAACGCUCUGUGCGGGUAGCAAAGUCGGCUCCAACGCAUGUCCAGGCAUCAACUGGUCUUGCCACCGGCUGGCUGGUCCCUCAGCUUUCAUGCUCGGAUCUGCAGAACAACCUCGUACUGGCCACUGGGGCAUGGCAAAACUUUUAAGUCCUAGUUUGGGUCUUCACUGCUCGCAGAGAAUUAACAAUUAAAGAAAGUGAUCCAACACGAAACUCAAAUCAAACAGUGCAGUCGGAAUUGUCCACAACCACGCUCCGUUUCACAAAUAAACAAAAAACUUGCAGCAGUCAUACUGUUCAUAGACAC
ensembl:lncRNA